UUUCAUAGAGCAGGUUUGAAACUCACUUUCUUUAGUAUCUGGAAGUGAACAUUUCGAGCGCAUUCAGGCCUAUAGUGAAAACGGAAAUAUCUUCCCAUAAACAACAGACAUAGGGAUUCUCAGAAACUUACUUGGGAUGUGUGUCCUCAAGUAACAGAGUUGAACAUUUAUUUUGAUACAGCCAUUUGGAAACACUCUUUUUGUAGUAUCNGCAAGUGGAUAUUUGGAUAACUGUGAAGAUUUCAUUGGAAACUGGAAUACGUUCGUAUAAAAUCUAGACAGAAGGAUUCUCAGAAACUUCUUUGUGAUGUGUGUCCUCAAUUAACAGAGUUGAACGUUUCUUUUGAUACAGCAGUUUGGAAACACUCUUUUUGUAGAAUCUGCAAGUGGAUAUUUGGAUAACUGUGAAGAUUUCAUUGAAACCCGGAAUAUAUUCAUAUAAAAUCUAGACAGAAUCAUUCUCAGAAACUUCUUUGUGAUGUGUGUCCUCAACUAACAGAUUUCAACCUUUCUUUUGAUAGAGCAUUUUGGAAACACGCUUUUUGAAGAAUCUGUAAGUGGAUAUUUGGAUAGCUCUAUCGAUUUCGUUGGAAACGGGAAUAUCUUCAUCUAAAAUCUAGACAGAAGCACUGUCAGAAACUACUUUGUGAUGUAUGCAUUCAAGUCACAGACCUGAACACUCCCUUUCGUAGACCACGUUUGAAACACUCUUUCUGUAGUAUCUGGAAGUGGACAUUUCGAGAGAAUUCAGGCCUAUGGUGGAAACGGAAAUAUCUUCCCAUAAAAACGAGACAGAAGGAUUCUCAGAAACUUAAUUGCAAUGUGUGUCCUCAACUAACAGAGCUGAACCUUUACUUUGAUACAAUUAGCAAGAGAAAAACUUCAAUUCUAUGUGACACAAUAAAUUAUCAAAGUGAAUUUUACUUACAAUUAGCUAAGAAAAACAAGAGAGACCAUCUGAACUUGCAACCCAGUGGUUUGACAAAAGCAAUCCAAAACCUUAAAGUUGGUAAGCCAAACUAACAAGGGUGACUUGAGGCCAGGCACAGUGGCUCAUACCUGUAAUCCCAGCACUUUGGGAGGCCAAGGCAGGUGGAUCACCUGAGGUCAGAAGUUUGAAACCAGUCUGGCCAACAUGGCGAAAUUCCGUCUCUACUAAAAAUACAAAAAUUAGCUUGGCA
rnacentral:lncRNA from 1 species